rnacentral:rRNA from 1 species
GAUGAACGCUGGCGGCGUGCCUAAUACAUGCAAGUCGAGCGAACAGACGAGGAGCUUGCUCCUCUGACGUUAGCGGCGGACGGGUGAGUAACACGUGGAUAACCUACCUAUAAGACUGGGAUAACUUCGGGAAACCGGAGCUAAUACCGGAUAAUAUAUUGAACCGCAUGGUUCAAUAGUGAAAGACGGUUUUGCUGUCACUUAUAGAUGGAUCCGCGCCGCAUUAGCUAGUUGGUAAGGUAACGGCUUACCAAGGCAACGAUGCGUAGCCGACCUGAGAGGGGGAACGGCCCAACUGGAACCGGGAAACGGGCCCAAAUCCUAAGGGAGGCAGCAGGAGGGAAACCUUCGCAAUGGGCGAAAGCCUGACGGAGCAACGCCGCGUGAGUGAUGAAGGUCUUCGGAUCGUAAAACUCUGUUAUUAGGGAAGAACAAAUGUGUAAGUAACUAUGCACGUCUUGACGGUACCUAAUCAGAAAGCCACGGCUAACUACGUG